UUCUAGAGAGCAUAGUUUAAAUCAGUUCCAAAAGUUGUUUCUUCUAGUGAAUAUCACACACUGUGAAUUUAAUAAUCAAAUAUAAUUUUCAAGUUUAAUAUUUAACCAAAUUCUAGGAGAAUGGCUUUGAGAAAUCAAUUGGGAAGUUUACUCUUCGAAAUGCUGAAAUUGACUGGCCCCAUUAGCUGCGAAACAAUCAUAAAAGAGAUGGAGCUUGACAACAAUGAUGGGCAAAAUAGCUCAAUGCGAGACUAUAUUAUAAACCACAUGGAGGAUGGGGCAAGGCUAGGAUUUUAUCAACGUUGUGGUUCCCUUUUCUAUGUCGCACCUUGGCCUCAGACAUCUAAUGGAGUAGUUUUGGACUUGGUUUUGGAGAACAUGGAAUGAACAUGAACAUGAACAGGAACAUCGAGCUUACAGCGAUGGUACGAUUUUGGAUAGAUAGCUCAUACUCAUCAGGAUGUUCCACACGAUGUGCUUCACCUGCUUCGCUCCAGUCACUCCUUGCCUUACACAAAAUUCAGUUCAGAAAAGAAAACAGCUGCCUACCCAUACUAUUAUUACCCUUUGUAAUAUGUAAUAAUCCCAUUGGAUCCCCACCCAUUCACAAAGAUAUACUUUGGCCACUCAGUCAAAGCCCACACUCGCAUCGAAACGCAUCGCAUCACAUCGCCAGUCGUUAUUGACCCUCAAAUUGCACAAUUUUCGUUAACUGCCCAAUUUGAAUGUCACCGAAGUUCAUUGAGGAGCCAUCACUGGGGACCCCAUUCCCAGUCCUUGCCAGGGGGUAUCCAUAAUGUGUCCGCUCAUUCGGUCAGUGGCAACUUAUAAAUAAAACACAGAUUUGUAGCAAUUUUGCCCCAAUG